CCUACGGGGUGCAGCAGUGAGGAAUAUUGGUCAAUGGCCGGAAGGCUGAACCAGCCAUGCCGCGUGAAGGUCAGUGCCCUAUGGGCGUUAAACUUCUUUUGUGCGGGAGCAAUAAUGGUCACGUGUGGCCAGACGAGAGUACCGUACGAAUAAGCAUCGGCUAACUCCGUGCCAGCAGCCGCGGUAAUACGGGGGAUGCAAGCGUUUUCCGGAUUUUUUGGGUGUAAAGGGUGCGUAGGCUGUGAGGUAAGUCAGCGGUGAAAUGCCCCCGCUCAACGGGGUGAAGUGCCAUUGAUACUGCAUUGCUGGAAUGCGGAUGCCGUGGGAGGAAUGUGUGGUGUAGCGGUGAAAUGCAUAGAUAUCACACAGAACACCGAUUGCGAAGGCAGCUCACGAAUCCGCGAUUGACGCUGAUGCACGAAAGCGUGGGUAUCAAACAGGAUUAGAUACCCUUGUAGUC
rnacentral:rRNA from 1 species